GAUGAACGCUGGCGGCGUGCCUAAUACAUGCAAGUCGAGCGAACAGACGAGGAGCUUGCUCCUCUGACGUUAGCGGCGGACGGGUGAGUAACACGUGGAUAACCUACCUAUAAGACUGGGAUAACUUCGGGAAACCGGAGCUAAUACCGUAUAAUAUAUUGAACCGCAUGGUUCAAUAGUGAAAGACGGUUUUGCUGUCACUUAUAGAUGGAUCCGCGCCGCAUUAGCUAGUUGGUAAGGUAACGGGUUACCAAGGCGACGAUGAGUAGCCGACCUGAGGGGGUGAUCGGCCACACUGGAACUGAGACACGGUCCAGACUCCUACGGGAGGCAGCAGUAGGGAAUCUUCCGCAAUGGGCGAAAGCCUGACGGAGCAACGCCGCGUGAGUGAUGAAGGUCUUCGGAUCGUAAAACUCUGUUAUUAGGGAAGAACAAAUGUGUAAGUAACUAUGCACGUCUUGACGGUACCUAAUCAGAAAGCCACGGCUAACUACGUG
rnacentral:rRNA from 1 species